rnacentral:rRNA from 1 species
AAAUAGAACUUUGCAGAGAGAGUUAAGAGGGCGUGAACCGUUAAUUGGCAAACGAAUCGGAGCCACGAAGUCGUUUCGCUGAUAAGUUGGGCCGAGUUCAGUUUAAGAUGCAAAUCUUAGGCGUAUUCUCGUAGUCCAACCUAGAAUUGUAAACGUACACUGCAACCAGUUAGACAAUUGGUGAUGGAACCAGUUAACUAGGGAGCAAUCCUUAGCUAAUGAACUAUUUGUCUAGCCAAAUUAGUAGUAGCAUGGUGCUUCUCGGAGUAUUCGUGUUAUUGGGUUUGUGUUAGGUGAACUAUUACCAAAUACUGACUGGCAAAAUAAAAACCGCUAUCAAAGCGUUUAAUAAAAUGCACUUAUUUAUAUAAAGGUCUACAUGCUUAACCAUGAGGUUUAAGCUCAGCAUUUUUAAAUUCAAACUUGCUUGCUACCAAUGGGGCAACUCUUGGUGCUUGUAUUGAUUUGUCUAAUUGGGUGUUGACUUGAUUUUGUGUUGUUUAAGUAUGAAGCGAUUGGGCUUUUAUAUAGAAUAAUUCGCAAUUGAUUGGCAGUGAGUAGGUCGGCUUUCCGAACGACCCGUCUUGAAACACGGACCAAGGAGUCUAAUUAGGCAUCAGUCGAUCGGUCUUGAAUAGGCCAGACUUGGGGAUUCGUUCCUCAGAUUGAAGGCGUAGAGAAAUCAAAUCAUGUGAUCUUUAAGGCAAUACCAGCCUUUUAGCGCAACAUGUGCCUGUUCGUAUAGCAAUGUUAGCAAUAACUUGCUGGGCGGAGCAAAGAGAUGCUUGAUUGGUACCCGAAAGAUGGUGAACUAUGCUUGGGCAAAUUGAAGCCAGAGGAAACUCUGGUGGAGGAUUGUAGCGAUUCUGACGUGCAAAUCGAUCGUCAGACCUGAGUAUAGGGGCGAAAGACUAAUCGAACCAUC